GAUCUCAAAAUAAGGUCCCUAAAUAUAUACUAAGUGUAAGACAAGAAGGUGAGAUUUCUUAAACAAUGAGGAGGUUGGCUUAGAAGCAGCCAUCCUUUAAAGAUAGCGUAACAGCUCACUCAUCUAGAGAUUUUGCGUCGAAAAUAAUUGGGGCUAAGUAUAUUACCGAAUUUGAGGAUUUUAAUUGUCUUCGGACACCUAAAGUGGUAGGAGAGUGUUCCACUCUGCUGUGAAGGAGGACUCGUGAGAGCCUCUGGAGCGUGUGGAAGUAAGAAUGUUGGCACAAGUAACCGCAAUGGGGCUGAGAACGCCCCACGUCGAAAGAUCAAGGUUUCCUUGGUAAUGUCAAUCAGCCAAGGGUUAGUCGGGCCUAAGGGAAUGGCGAAAGCCGUACUCGAUGGACACAGGGUUAAUAUUCCCUGACUUUUGUAUUUAGUGACGGGAUGACGGAGUGAAAUAUGUAUCGCUCAUUAUUGGAUUUGAAGUUUGUGUAUUAGAGAUGACGUAUAGGAAAAUCCGUACGCUGCCUUCGAUGGCGAAUCUAGGAUACAUGAAAAGCUUACAGCUUCGGCUGUGAGUAAUGAUACAAAAUACGCUUCCAAGAAAACUCUCUAAACUUAUAAGUACAAGAUCCGUACCGCAAACCGACACAGGUGAUCAGGUCGAGUAGACCAAGACGAACGAGUGAGUGGUCCCCAAGGAACUCGGCAAAAAAGCAGCCGUAACUUCGGGAUAAGGCUUGCCCUCCAUUUAUUUGGAGGGCCGCAGCGAAAGUAUUUCUGGCAACUGUUUACCAAAAACACAGCUCCCUGCGAACUCGCAAGAGGAUGUAUAGGGGGUGACACCUGACCAAUGCCAGAAGGUCAAAUAUCGACGUUGCUAUCCGCAAGGGUAAUGGUGAUUGAUAUAAGCCCUGGUGAAUGUCGGCCGUAACUAUAACGGUCCUAAGGUUCUGUGCACAAUGCAAAUUGCGCGCGGAAUGACUGGGACCGGAAUAGAAAAAGGUAAAUAAUUAAAUUAAAAAAUUGUUAGACCAUUCGAAUGCUACCUUCCGUACAGUAAUGUGCGGGAAGUCAAAACUUGACUAACGAGAGACCAGCGUCAAGCAUCCUAACUCGAAAGAGUGGAUGAAGAUAGAGUCCUUCUUAGGUAUAGAAGAGCGAAAUACCUUGUCGGGUAAGUUCCGACGCGCACGAAUGGUGUAAUGACUGGAAAACUGUCUCGGGGACCAGCUCGGUGAAAAUACAAUACCGGUGAAGAUGCCGGUUACCUGCAGUUAGACGAAAAGACCCUAGAAGCUUUACUAUAACUUUAUAUUGAGCAUGUUUUUGAACUGCGUAGAAUAGAUGGGAGAGGUUAUGUGCACGAUCUCGGUUGUGUAAUACUCGUCAGUGAAAUACCAUUCUUUUCGGAGGCAUGUUCUAACCAAAGCGGCAAAAACGCUUUGAGACAGUAUAUGGUGGAUAGUUUUACUGGGGCUGUACCCUCCUAAAGAGUAAAGGAGGGGUUUAAAGGUCAGCUAGGCGCGAAUGGAAACCGUGCCGAUAGUGUAAUGGCACAAGCUGGCUUGAGUGUGAGACGUACAUGUCAAGCAUGUGGGAAACCAGAACAUAGUGAACCGACCUUUCGCAUUAGAUGCGGGGGGAGAUUAACGGAUAAAAGCUACUCUAGGGAUAACAGGCUAGUUCCGCCCAAGAGUUCAUAUCGACGGCGGAGUUCGGCACCUCGAUGUCGGCUCACCUUAGCGCGGCGGUGGAGAAGCUGCCAAGCGUUUGGCUGUUCGCCAAUUAAAAAGGUACGCGAGCUGGGUUCAGACCGUUGAGGAAUUAGGUUAUAGGUUUUAGUGAUUAGGUUCUAGUAUUUUUACUAGCACCUAGAAACUAAUACCUGACUACUGAUUCUUCGACAGUUUGAACCCUCAGAGGAAUUUGAACUUAUGAACUUAAGUAUUGAACUGUUUUAAUCGAAAUCAACCAAGCACAUUAAAUUGUGCACACGGCGGUCCUGAAUUUUUAAUUAUUCAGGAAGAAGUCGGGGUUUUCGGAGGAAUCCAAUCACGUGAUUCGCAAAACGAAUUUUACGCGAGGACAACACCGAGAAGAAGUAAGUUACUUCUUUGUAGAGACUACAAACCGGCCUUGUCGCAAGACAAGAAUGUAUAGUCCAAUCCCUUCAGUAAUGAAGGUUCAGCGUUUGUAGAACGCGGAAGUAAAAUCAAAUGCGUGAGACAGGUUGGUCUCCUAUCUACUGCAGGCGUUGAUUCUUGAGAAGAUUUGCUCCUAGUACGAGAGGACCGGAGUGAACUGACCUCUGGUGUACGAGCUCUACUGCCAAGUGGAAUGCUCGGUAGCUAUGUCGGGAAUGGAUAACCUCUGAAAGCAUCUAAGAGGGAAGCCAGCUUCAAGAUUAGGAAUCGUUAAGAACCGUAAGAGAUGAUUACGUUGAUAGGCUUUAAGUGUAAGUGCAGUAAUGUGCUGAGCUGAGAAGUACUAAUGUUUCGAUUCCUGUUAAGAA
rnacentral:rRNA from 1 species